GCAGUCGAACGAGUUCUCGUUGAUGAUCGGUGCUUGCACCGAGAUUCAACAUGGAACGAGUGGCGGACGGGUGAGUAACACGUGGGUAACCUGCCCUUAAGUGGGGGAUAACAUUUGGAAACAGAUGCUAAUACCGCAUAGAUCCAAGAACCGCAUGGUUCUUGGCUGAAAGAUGGCGUAAGCUAUCGCUUUUGGAUGGACCCGCGGCGUAUUAGCUAGUUGGUGAGGUAACGGCUCACCAAGGCGAUGAUACGUAGCCGAACUGAGAGGUUGAUCGGCCACAUUGGGACUGAGACACGGCCCAAACUCCUACGGGAGGCAGCAGUAGGGAAUCUUCCACAAUGGACGCAAGUCUGAUGGAGCAACGCCGCGUGAGUGAAGAAGGCUUUCGGGUCGUAAAACUCUGUUGUUGGAGAAGAAUGGUCGGCAGAGUAACUGUUGUCGGCGUGACGGUAUCCAACCAGAAAGCCACGGCUAACUACGUGCCAGCAGCCGCGGUAAUACGUAGGUGGCAAGCGUUAUCCGGAUUUAUUGGGCGUAAAGCGAGCGCAGGCGGUUUUUUAAGUCUGAUGUGAAAGCCCUCGGCUUAACCGAGGAAGCGCAUCGGAAACUGGGAAACUUGAGUGCAGAAGAGGACAGUGGAACUCCAUGUGUAGCGGUGAAAUGCGUA
rnacentral:rRNA from 2 species